CUUGUUUCAAAAUAUAAAAGGCCAAGAAGACGGUUGUUCGUCAGACACAAGUCGAAGAUGAGGUCGAAUACAUUCUUUGUUGUGCUGGCCCUGGGGUUAGCCCUUGUUGCAGCCAAAGAGGACUUGCGAAGCGAACGCAGCGUUACGGCAGAUAACACCUUACUCGAAGUAGUGAA